CCUACGGGGGGCUGCAGUGGGGAAUAUUGGACAAUGGGCGAAAGCCUGAUCCAGCCAUGCCGCGUGUGUGAAGAAGGCCUUCGGGUUGUAAAGCACUUUCAGUGGGGAAGAAAGCCUUGGGGCUAAUACCCUCGAGGAAGGACAUCACUCACAGAAGAAGCACCGGCUAACUCCGUGCCAGCAGCCGCGGUAAUACGGAGGGUGCGAGCGUUAAUCGGAAUUACUGGGCGGAAAGCGCGCGUAGGCGGUCUGAUAAGCCGGUUGUGAAAGCCCCGGGCUCAACCUGGGAACGGCAUCCGGAACUGUCAGGCUAGAGUGCAGGAGAGGAAGGUAGAAUUCCCGGUGUAGCGGUGAAAUGCGUAGAGAUCGGGAGGAAUACCAGUGGCGAAGGCGGCCUUCUGGACUGACACUGACGCUGAGGUGCGAAAGCGUGGGUAGCAAACAGGAUUAGAUACCCUUGUAGUC
rnacentral:rRNA from 1 species